UAAUGUAACAAAAUAAAAAAAAAGCGAACGAACAGAGGAGGGUCCGUAGGCUCUCGUAGCCUCCGCCGCCCAUCCGGCCGGAGCCUCUACCAGCGACGCCGCCUGCCUCCCCGCCCGCCCAGCAGCGACUCCCUCCCCGGAGCAACCGCCCCGCCCAAAUCCGCCGCCCGGAGCCACGCCGCCGCGCGCUCCCUCCCACAUCCCUCUUCUCGGUGACUGGAUUGGGGCCGAGGAGGAGCCUGCCCUUGUCGCCCAGCAGCUCCCGCUCCAACGGCCUCGCCCACAGGCCCGGCAGCGCCAGCCGCUCCUCCCUCCCCUCCUCCGCUCAGCCAAACACAACCUUCGUCUCGCCGGCGAGAGCUUCUUGCGAUGCCUGCCACGUUGAUGCGCUGCCCCCUCCUGCUCGGGCGGCAACCGGAGACCGCCCUCCGACACUCCUUCUCCUCCUCCCGCAUGCGUCGUGUGCGCAAAGCCGCGGGGGGUGGGGGCCAGGGGCCACCACCGGCGUAUGGUGGGCUGCUGCUCGACGCCGGUGGCACGCUGCUGCAGUUAGCGCAGCCGGUCGCCGAGACGUACGCCACCCUCGGCCGUCCAUAUGGUGUGAUGAAGUCCGAAAAGUACAUCAUGGAGGGAUUCAAGCGGGCUUUCUCGGCGCCAUGGCCCAAGACGCUCAGGUACCAGGGUGAUGGGCGACCAUUCUGGAGGAUUGUCGUCGCGGAAGCAACUGACUGCACAAACAGUAAUUAUUUCGAAGAAGUGUACCAGUACUAUGCACAUGGAGAUGCAUGGCGUCUGCCUGGUGGAGCUUACAGAACACUGCGUGAUUUAAAAGAUGCUGGAGUUAAGCUAGCUGUCGUAUCUAACUUCGACACACGGCUAAGGAAAUUGCUCAAGGAUCUCAAUGUCUCACAUAUGUUUGAUGCCAUUGUUGUAUCAUCGGAGGUUGGAUAUGAGAAACCUGCUCCAGAGAUCUUCAAAAUAGCAUUAGGUAUUGCAGAGUUUAAUCUGUUCAAGCUAAGUUUUAUAUACGUAUUGAAGUGUAACAAUAGUAAGCCUGAUUCUGGAUACACGGUUGUGCUGAAGAACAAAUUGGUGUGGAAGCCAGAAAUGCAGUACACGUAGGAGAUGAUGAAACUGCAGACAGGGCGGGUGCUAACGCUAUUGGACUCGAGUGCUGGCUGUGGGGAGAAGAUGUGAAGGAAUUUUCUGAGAUACAACGCAGGAUUGUAGCAAAAGGCUCACGAUGAGCGAGCGCAGGGCAUUGUUUCUGUUUGCCUGAUUCGCUCAUUUGAUUGCUAAGGGGCCCUAAUAACAGUUUUGAUUUCGCCAAAUAUAUCUGUUUCUCCGCACGUUCUGUUGGCGUCCUUGUAAUAAGUGCUAAGAAGAAGAAUGCUACGCAUGGUACAUGUGCAAAUACUUUCCGGCCCUGAUGAUCAUCUUCAUCAUCGCCCCGUCCUGUGAUCGUCGCGCAUAUAUUAGACUAAUUUGGACACGUUGAUGGACUGACUUUUUCGUUUUCGCCAAGUUGAUGUAUGUAUGUAUGCAUGCUAGUGUUGUCAAGACUGA